UACGAAGGGUGCAAACGUUGCUCGGAAUUAUUGGGCGUAAAGCGCACGUAGGCGGCUUGGCAAGUCGGAUGUGAAAUCCCUCGGCUCAACCAAGGAAGUGCAUCCGAAGCUGCUGAGCUUGAGUACUUAAGGGGAUCGCGGAAUUCCCGGUGUAGAGGUGAAAUUCGUAGAUAUCGGAAGGAACGCCGGUGGCGAAAGCGACGUGCUGGACCUUUUCUGACGCUGAGGCGCGAAAGCCAGGGGAGCAAACGGG
rnacentral:rRNA from 1 species